AUUUAUAUAGUUUAAAUUAAAACCUUACAUUUUCACUGUAAAAAUAAAAAAAAUCUUUUAUAAGUU
rnacentral:tRNA from 1 species